rnacentral:rRNA from 1 species
AAAGUUAGUGACCGACCUUGAAAGGGGUCUUUCCUUCGGGACACGAAACUAGGUGCUGCAUGGUUGUCGUCAGCUCGUGCCGUGAGGUGUCGGGUUAAGUCCCAUAACGAGCGCAACCCCUAUUCUUAGUUGCUAACAGGUCAUGCUGAGGACUCUAAGGAGACUGCCGGUGUAAACCGUGAGGAAGGUGGGGAUGACGUCAAAUCAGCACGGCCCUUACGUCCGGGGCGACACACGUGUUACAAUGGAUGGUACAGAGGGCUGCAACACGGCGACGUGAAGCCAAUCCCUAAAAGCCAUUCUCAGUUCGGAUUGCAGGCUGCAACUCGCCUGCAUGAAGUUGGAUUCGCUAGUAAUCGCAUAUCAGCCAUGAUGCGGUGAUACGUUCCCGGGCCUUGUACACACCGCCCGUCAAGCCAUG